UACGAAGGGUGCUAGCGUUGUUCGGAAUCACUGGGCGUAAAGCGCGCGUAGGCGGCUUUUCAAGUCAGGGGUGAAAUCCUUGGGCUCAACCCAAGAACUGCCUUUGAAACUGUAAAGCUGGAGUGUCGGAGGGGAUAGCGGAAUUCCUAAUGUAGUGGUGAAAUACGUAGAUAUUAGGAGGAACACCGGUGGCGAAGGCGGCUAUCUGGACGACAACUGACGCGUGAGGCGGC
rnacentral:rRNA from 1 species